GUAGGGAAUCUUGCGCAAUGGGCGAAAGCCUGACGCAGCCAUGCCGCGUGAAUGAUGAAGGUCUUAGGAUUGUAAAAUUCUUUCACCGGGGACGAUAAUGACGGUACCCGGAGAAGAAGCUCCGGCUAACUUCGUGCCAGCAGCCGCGGUAAUACGAAGGGGGCUAGCGUUGAUCGGAAUUACUGGGCGUAAAGGGCGCGUAGGCGGAUAUUUAAGUCGGGGGUGAAAGCCCGGGGCUCAACCUCGGAAUAGCCUUCGAUACUGGAUAUCUUGAGUACGGGAGAGGUGUGUGGAACUCCGAGUGUAGAGGUGAAAUUCGUAGAUAUUCGGAAGAACACCAGUGGCGAAGGCGACACACUGGCCCGUUACUGACGCUGAGGCGCGAAAGCGUGGGGAGCAAACAGGAUUAGAAACCCCUGUAGUCC
rnacentral:rRNA from 1 species